CCUACGGGAGGCAGCAGUGGGGAAUAUUGCACAAUGGGGGGAACCCUGAUGCAGCAACGCCGCGUGAAGGAAGACGGUUUUCGGAUUGUAAACUUCUAUCAAUAGGGAAGAAAGAAAUGACGGUACCUAAAUAAGAAGCCCCGGCUAACUACGUGCCAGCAGCCGCGGUAAUACGGAGGAUGCGAGCGUUAUCCGGAUUUAUUGGGUUUAAAGGGUGCGCAGGCGGUCUGUUAAGUCAGCGGUCAAAGCCCGGGGCUCAACCCCGGCCCGCCGUUGAAACUGGCAGUCUCGAGUUGGAGAGAAGUAUGCGGAAUGCGCGGUGUAGCGGUGAAAUGCAUAGAUAUCGCGCAGAACUCCGAUUGCGAAGGCAGCAUGCCGGCUCCACACUGACGCUGAGGCACGAAAGCGUGGGUAUCGAACAGGAUUAGAUACCCCAGUAGUC
rnacentral:rRNA from 1 species